rnacentral:rRNA from 1 species
UGACGAGUGGCGGACGGGUGAGUAAUGCUUGGGAACUUGCCUUUGCGAGGGGGAUAACAGUUGGAAACGACUGCUAAUACCGCAUAAUGUCUUCGGACCAAACGGGGCUUCGGCUCCGGCGCAAAGAGAGGCCCAAGUGAGAUUAGCUAGUUGGUAAGGUAACGGCUUACCAAGGCGACGAUCUCUAGCUGUUCUGAGAGGAAGAUCAGCCACACUGGGACUGAGACACGGCCCAGACUCCUACGGGAGGCAGCAGUGGGGAAUAUUGCACAAUGGGGGAAACCCUGAUGCAGCCAUGCCGCGUGUGUGAAGAAGGCCUUCGGGUUGUAAAGCACUUUCAGUUGUGAGGAAAAGUUAGUAGUUAAUACCUGCUAGCCGUGACGUUAACAACAGAAGAAGCACCGGCUAACUCCGUGCCAGCAGCCGCGGUAAUACGGAGGGUGCGAGCGUUAAUCGGAAUUACUGGGCGUAAAGCGCACGCAGGCGGUUUGUUAAGCUAGAUGUGAAAGCCCCGGGCUCAACCUGGGAUGGUCAUUUAGAACUGGCAGACUAGAGUCUUGGAGAGGGGAGUGGAAUUCCAGGUGUAGCGGUGAAAUGCGUAGAUAUCUGGAGGAACAUCAGUGGCGAAGGCGACUCCCUGGCCAAAGACUGACGCUCAUGUGCGAAAGUGUGGGUAGCGAACAGGAUUAGAUACCCUGGUAGUCCACACCGUAAACGCUGUCUACUAGCUGUGUGUGUCUUUAAGGCGUGCGUAGCGAAGCUAACGCGCUAAGUAGACCGCCUGGGGAGUACGGCCGCAAGGUUAAAACUCAAAUGAAUUGACGGGGGG